AGUGAACGCUGGCGGUAUGCCUAACACAUGCAAGUCGAACGGCAGCACAGUAAGAGCUUGCUCUUACGGGUGGCGAGUGGCGGACGGGUAAGGAAUACAUCGGAAUCUACUUUUUCGUGGGGGAUAACGUAGGGAAACUUACGCUAAUACCGCAUACGACCUACGGGUGAAAUCAGGGGAUCUUCGGACCUUUCGCGAUUGAAUGAGCCGAGGUCGGAUUAGCUAGUUGGUGUGGUAAAGGCACACCAAGGCAACGAUGCGUAGCUGGUCUGAGAGGAUGAUAGGCCACACUGGAACUGAGACACGGUCCAGACUCCUACGGGAGGCAGCAGUGGGGAAUCUUCCACAAUGGGCGAAAGCCUGACGGAGCAACGCCGCGUGGGUGAAGAAGGUCUUCGGAUCGUAAAACUCUGUUAUUAGGAAAGAACAUAUGUGUAAGAAACUGUGCACAUCUUGACGGUACCUAAUCAGAAAGCCACGGCUAACUACGUG
rnacentral:rRNA from 1 species